rnacentral:rRNA from 1 species
AGAGUUUGAUCCUGGCUCAGAUUGAACGCUGGCGGCAGGCCUAACACAUGCAAGUCGAGCGAGAAAGCCCUUCGGGGUGAGUACAGCGGCGGACGGGUGAGUAACGCGUGGGAAUCUGCCCAGUAGUGGGGGACAACAGCCGGAAACGGCUGCUAGUACCGCAUACGCCCUACGGGGGAAAGCAGGGGAUCUUCGGACCUUGUGCUAUUGGAUGAGCCCGCGUCAGAUUAGCUUGUUGGUGGGGUAAUGGCCUACCAAGGCGACGAUCUGUAGCUGGUCUGAGAGGAUGAUCAGCCACAUCGGGACUGAGACACGGCCCGAACUCCUACGGGAGGCAGCAGUGGGGAAUAUUGGACAAUGGGGGCAACCCUGAUCCAGCCAUGCCGCGUGUGUGAGGAAGGCCUGCGGGUUGUAAAGCACUUUCAGGAGGGAGGAAAGUUUACCUGUUAAUAGCAGGUAGAUGUGACGUUACCUUCAGAAGAAGCACCGGCUAACUCCGUGCCAGCAGCCGCGGUAAUACGGAGGGUGCGAGCGUUAAUCGGAAUUACUGGGCGUAAA